AGGUAGAGGUGCGGCUGAGAUGAGUACCUGUGCAUGGGAUGACCCGUCCGAUGAUGUACAGCGAAAGGUGAUGCCGCCGAAGAAACGUUUUUGGUAAACUCGUUUCUGGCUGCGGGCUGAAUAAGUUUGUGGCUGUCAUCAUGCUUUGAUGGAGAGCUAUCGG
rnacentral:ncRNA from 2 species